GCAACCUGUCGCUGAAUGGGCUCCUCUCAACAACAAACCGAGAGAGUGGAGACUUCUACCAUUGAUUUUAUGUGCUGUCCCUGGGUGUGUUUGUGAAAUCAGACAGCUGCAGUGAUAAUAUAAGGGAUCAGCAGCAAAAAUGGAUGAGGAGAAAAGGAAGCGAUCUACAUUCAGACAGUCAUCCAGUGAGACUGAAGCCAGUUCACAGAUGAGUACUGCUCCUAGCAAGAUGUCCCUCAGGAGCAACAGAUCCAAGUUCGAGCCAGUCAACUUUAAAGAUGAAAGACCAGUAACUGAGAAGCCAUCCACCUGUCCAGUUUGCAAAGAUGUUAUGAAAAAUCCAGUUCAGCUCAGCUGUGAACACUGGUGCUGCAAACUGUGUCUCAGCUCAGACCUGGAUGAGUCUGUGUCACCAGCAGACUGUCCUUGUCCUCAGUGUGGGAAGAAAUCCAAAAAAACAUUAAAACAAGAGAAAGACAAG